ensembl:rRNA 5S_rRNA 5S ribosomal RNA
ACUUUCAAUAAAAAAAAAAAAAUUAAAAAAAAGCCCGAUCUCCUCUGACCUCGGAAGCAAAGUAAAGUUGGGCCUGGUUAGUAUUUGGUUGGGAGACUGAAUGGGAAUACUAGGUGCUGUAAGCU